UACGUAGGGUGCAAGCGUUGUCCGGAAUUAUUGGGCGUAAAGAGCUCGUAGGCGGUCUGUCGCGUCGGAUGUGAAAAUCAGGGCUCAACCCUGGACCUGCAUUCGAUACGGGCAGACUAGAGUUCGGUAGGGGAGACUGGAAUUCCUGGUGUAGCGGUGAAAAUGCGCAGAUAUCAGGAGGAACACCGGUGGCGAAAGGCGGGGUCUCUGGGGCCCGAAAACUGACGCUGAGGAGCGAAAAGCGUGGGGGGAGCAAAAACAGGGAUU
rnacentral:rRNA from 1 species